AUAAUAACGAUAAGGGCGACCCUUACGGAUCGCCCCUUUGUUCUUAAAUUAACAUCUUCUGGUUUGGCCGCCGAUCCGUUAAGUCUAAGAGCAUUUCUGGCGUUACGCAUAGCUGGCUGUUAGCUAGAUUCCUUACAAAACUUCACUAACAGUUUUUGUAACCAAAACCUAAGCAUUGCUUAGGUUUUUUUAU
rnacentral:sRNA from 1 species